GAAGAUGGAGAGCUUGCAAUAAAAGACUUCGAGACAUUCAAUUUAGCCUUAUAUAAUGUAGUCUAAUGAAGACAUUAAAAAUCAAUCAAAUCAAAUAUCUUUUUUAUUUUAUUUAAUUUAUCUUUCUUUUAAUUUUAUUUAACUUUCUUGACGUUAUUAGAAAUUUAAAUUUAACACUCUAUAUGAAACAAAUUGAUAUUAUUUAGACCUUUAAGUUUUAAUUUUACAAAACAAGAGACUAUCUAUUUACCAAAGAGGCUGUCCAUAAUCACUCAAAUCUCAUCUUCCUUAGGACAAGUUCUUUAUUCUUUUUCACCUCCAUUUUCUUCACCUCCAUUUUCUUCACCUCCUUCACCACCACUCCCUUCUAAGCUUGAUCCACUUGAACCUUGUCCACCAGUUUUGCCUGUUUUUCCAAGUUUUCUAUUUCUUUUCCAAUUUCUCCAUGGAUCAUAUACAUAUACAUGUAUCCCAAUUUUUGUUUUUAAUUCUGUUGUUGUUGUAUAAACUGCAAAACAAUAAAUAGUUUUUGUUAAAUAUUAAUAAAGGAAAAAUGAAAUUGCACGUUUAACUUAAAUAUAUGUAUACGUUGUUUCUCAUCUUUGGAUGAUUCAAUUGAUACAAUGGAGAUGAUAAUUAAUGCACAAACAAACAACACGGAGAUACAAAUUUUAGUUUUCAUCCUUGAUGAAGAAUAUAUGUAAUGAGUGUGAAUAAAAAAGCAAUUAUUUAUAGUGAUCAUUAGUUAUGAUAUUUAAAAUAUGAAUAAAAAGAGUUUGAUUAGAUAAUAUAUUAUACAUAAAAAAAAUAUAUAUAUAUAUAUCAAUUGGCAGUUUGUGAGAAUAAUAUGCUAUCACACUUAUUAAGCCAUUGAAAGGAUAAAUUUGAACAUAUUAAUCAAAGGAGGUAAGAAGGUUUUUUACACAAUGACAAUUAACAAGAGAUUAAAAAGUUUGAUUAUUUCUUUAACCUUUGAACUCUUAAAAGGUUUUAAUUUUGGGUUACCCUUAACUCACAUGAUAAUCCUAUUUUUCAAAACUUUUACAAUCUAAAAUAAACUAUACUAAAAAAAACUCUAGACUAUACUAGGAUCCGAUGAGUUACAUUUUAAUAUUUGUUUAGCCUUUCUCAACAUUAAAAACAUUAUUUAGUUCGAUUUGUACUUAUUUUAGAGUAAAAUCUUAUAUUUGUGUGAUUUUAUGUUGGUAUUAUGUGUGUAUUUUAGAUACUUAUCAAUCAGAGGCCUCUGCAUAGUAAAACGAUGAAAAAUAGUUUAAAAAAACACUUUAUUCUAUGUUUUAUGUUGUCAUCACGGGCACAACCUAGUCAAGACGAACGUCACACAACACAUGGUCAGACUGUCGCCGAUAAUAGUCAACGAAACAAGGAGCGCUAGUCAACAACCCAUGACGGGCGGACCGUCAUCCUAGCUAUCGCUCGUCAUGGCUCACGAUCCAACAUCCACUUGAAGGAGUCAUGACGGGUAGGAUGUCAGCCCAAUUUACGCCCGUCAUGAGGUUAAUACCCAAUUGUAUAGCACCAGUAUCAACAAUGCAGCUUCACUACUUCCCCACUUUCUCCCACUCAUUUUGCACGAUUACAACAGUUAUAGUUAUAGUACACACUUUAGCCUAUAAAUAGGUCCUUUAAACACAUAAUUUGGCAUCCAAAUUUACAUUUAGUCACAAAUUUACUCUUGUAAAACAUAAAUACUCCACAAUGAAGUCUUUAUGCAAUUUAUCUUAUGCAUCUUUUAGAGUUUUUGCUGCUGAAUUUUUUUUUGCUACUACAAUUAUCUAUUUCCUGCAUUGUUAUUUGAAAUUUGUUGUUGUACCAAAUAAAAGUCUCCCUUCAGAGCAAUUUAUUUAUGCAAGUUUUAAUCUUUAUUCACUUUACAAAUCCUUUUACUUUUACGGCUUCUUCAAUUAUGUCUUAUUUAAUUGCAUGAUUUUUAGUUAUUUACUUUACCAUGUUUGAGUAGUUUUAUAUAGGAUUUGAAACAUGAGGACCGUUUACCGGUAAAAUUCACACGAAAUGCUCCAUUAGAUUAAAUAUAAUGAGACUAAUUAUGUUUUGCAAUUUAUGUGUAAACGAUAAAAGAUGUUCGCUAUGAAAUUAGAAAUAAAGAUAUACCAUUUAUGCACCUAAAGCGACGAUAUUUGACUUAAAAGUUCGAACGAUCAGUUCUGACAACGUGCAAAAGCAAGGUCAAAAUUAGUAAAAAAAAAAUACUUAAAAUUCCGUUUUGAAAUAAUAGUUUUGAAAAGUAAAAACUUACUACGAAAGUUGAAACUAGAGAUACCAGUUACGUAUCGAAAGAGCGAAAUCGAUAUCUGACACCAUUAUUUAAACAAUUAAUUUUAAGGUAGUGAAAACAUCUUGAAAUUCAUUGAGGAAUUAUUUUCAAAUUUAUUAGAACUUUAGAUGUAUUAGUUUCACUACGAAAGCUGGUUUUUAAUGUAUUUAGAAAUCCGAAGACAUACACGCGAAAGCGGGCGUUGCUAUUAGUUGAAUAUUUUCUACAUAUUAAUUUUUAUUCUCAUUAUAAUAAACAACUACAUUUUGUAUAUAAAUAGAAUUGGUAGAUGAGAAUUGACGUUUCGAUACCUUAUUUGUUAUUUUGUUUAUUUAAACUAAUUUACUGCAUUAUUUACCUUUUCGCUAAAACAAACCAUACACAUAACCUUAGAUAAACAAAGUAAUAAUAGAUAGCGAUACUUGUCUCGGUGGGAUUCGAUAAUCUUUUUUUUACUAAAACCGAUAAAGUCGUGCACUUGCGGCCUAUCAAGUUUUUGGUUGCGCUGUUGGUGACCAAUUUCUUCAAUAUCAUAACCCUGUUAUUACAAUGUAUAGACUAAGGCAUUUUUCAUGUUUAAUUAAUUUUCCCCUCGUGUUGGUUGUAUGCGAAAAACCCGUAACACCAGGAUCCUAGUAAAACCGAUCAACGAAAUUGAGCAUUUCCUAUGUUUUAGAUGCCAAAUUCAGCAAAUUCAACAAGAAAUGACUGAAAAUGACAAUCGUUCAAGUAUUGUUAAUCCUGCAAUCCAGGCUAACAAAUUCGAGUUAAAACCCUAUUUGUUGCAGAUCGUGCAACAUAACCAAUUCUUUGGUAACCCCACGGAGGAUCCAAGUUUGCACAUCUCCGUCUUUGUGCAAUUCGCUGACACGUUAAAAAGUAAUGGCGUCGACCCCAAAGCCAUUCAAUUGCAUCUAUUUUCUUUCUUCCUAAAGGACAUAGCCAAAGUUUGUCUAUAGUCUCUACUAUCAAAUUCCAUAACCAGAUGGAAUGAAUUAAAGAAAGCUCUCAUUGCUAAGUACUUUGCGCCGAGCAAAACAACACAGUUGAUGAACCAAAUUACACGCUUCAGGAAUUUGGAUGGUGAAUCACUCUUAUAAGCAUGAGAGCAUUAUAAGGAAUUGAUUAGAGCUUAUCCCCACCACAGAUUAGAAAAGUUGCUAAUAAUCCAUAAUUUUUACAACGAUCUUCUUUAUAACACAAGAAUGACCAUUGAUAUCGCUACUGGAGGAGCCUUGACAAAUAAACCCUUCAAUGAUGUAGAUGCUCUCAUCGAAAACAUGUCUCAAAACCAUUACUAGUGAGGGAGUGAACACACUCCUGUAGAGAAGUCGCAACCGAGAGGAGAGAUGUACGAAGUUAGUAGCUUCGAUCAUAUGAAUGCGGAAUUUGAUGCUCUUCCUUCCAAACUUAUAAAAAUACCUAUUUUUAAGAACUCUUGCUGCAGAUUUAACAUAGUUGAAAGACAUGUCGAUGAACCCCCCUCUAAACAAGUUCCCCCAGACAUAGUGAAAACACACCUAGUGAGUGAUACCAUCCAUAAUAGAAAAGGAAAAUAAGUCAGGGCUUACAAGAAGGUGCUACAUGGAAUCCUUAUUAUUUUAGACCAAAACUUUAAGAAAGAAGGGUUAACCCUAGUACAUGGGACGACUCAAAAGGUGAAGAAGAAACCUAUACCACAUACCUCAUGUAUGAACCUCCCCAUAAAAAGAGAGACAAAGUUAAAAUACAUAUGAGUUGGUUCGAGAUAUUCAAAUGGAAUCCUAAAGCUGUUGGGCAUGAUAUUGAGCACAAUGUCAAUGAUAUAAGUCUGAAAGAGGUUCCCUCUUGAUUUAGAGGGUCAAGAAAAGUCGAGCUAUCCGACUCUAAACAAAACAUUGUGUGGGAGGCAACCCAUAGGUUUUUUAAUUUAAUUUUUUUACUUUUCUUUGUUUGAAUUUACAGAAAAUAAAAAGAGAUCGAUCGCUUGACACAUACUGCAACACCCCGAUUUAUAUAUUCGCUUAUUUAAUUAUUUAUUUAUUUUAAGUGAGUAAUUUAUUUAAAUAAUUAUUUUGUGAAUAUGUGACAUAUUUGCCCAUUGAUGGUAUGUAUGGUGUUUUGUGUUAAUUAAUUGGGUUAGUGAAGAUUAAUUAAUAAUUUAAUUGGAAAUUGGUGAGAAUAUGUAGAAUUGGGUCAAUUUUGGGAAUUGAGAGAGUUAGUGGUAAGUGGAGAAAGGUUUAACUUUAGUUGGGAAAAAGUGUAAUUAUGAGAAUCUGAGUAAAAUAAUGUAUAUUCUUAAGUUAUACUAAGAAGUAGGUUUUUAGAGCUAUUUUCAUCAAUAUGUGACAAUAGUGGAUUUUAGAGAAAAACCUUAGAAGAGAGAGUGCUAGGACUUGAGAAAAGAAACUUUAGAGAGCUUGUUUGCUGAAUUUUUCUGGAAUUACAAGGUAGGGGGAUUCUUCAUCUAUAAGUGAUUAAUUCAUGAAAGGGUAGAGAGGUUUCCCUUAACCUCCCAUAGAAAUUUCUCUCUUUGUGUUGAUUGUGUGUGAUAAUGAAUAAUAUGAUUUCAAUUAUGUUUUUAUGCUAUGAUUCCUUGAAAAUCCAUGUAUUGUAUUUGGGGUAUUUGUUUUGUAUGUUAUGUGUUCAUAAACAUGAGUUUUUGUAUGGAAUUGAGGUUUUUAAAGCAUGAAUAAAUUUUUUACGGUAAAAUCAUUGAAAUAACAUGUUAGAUUCAUAUGAACUUGUAUGCUUUUGUGUGGGAAUAAUGUGAGUCAUGUUUCUGCACAGUUUGGGAGUGUUUAGAGUGAUUUUUAGAGAGUUUUUGCAGACAAUGUAAUAUUUAAGUAUUCCCGCUUUUAUUAGUUUUAAUUUAUUUGAUUUUUAGAUUAUUAACUUUCUACUAGGAUUUCCAUGUUUUAUAGUUUAGGACUUUUAAUUUUAUUGUUAGUUUAGUGCUAUCAAGGCAAUGCAUGUGUUGUCGAGUCAUUUAUGUGUAUAUUUUUGCUAUGUUAUUGAUUUUUCCCAUUUUUUGAACUGAACAAUUUUUUUGAAAAGGCUUAGGAUUAGUGGAUCAUUUAGAAAGUAUAUAGGUUCCAAAGUAGGAUAGGUUAAGGUUAAGGAUACUUGGGAAAAUUCUGACAAAGUCGGUAUUGUACCAACACCUAAAACCUCCCAAAUAUGGAUAUCAAUUUAGAUACUCGUUGUGCCAUAGUCUCGAAUUUCUAUUUUAUAGUAAUCCUCGAUUAGUUUGUUUAUCCAAUUAGACAUAUUCUAUAGUCACACAUUAAGUAGGUUAGUCGAUGAACAUAAGCAAAAAAUUUGAAGCUUAAAAAUGGACAAUUGCAUCUACUAAGUUAAGUAAACUUCACCCGGUUACUUAGCCCAAAGAUGGUUGAACCUAAAAAAUCAAGGAUUUAAAAAAUUGCAUCUUUGAUCAAAAUGUCUAAAUGCAAAAAGAUGAAUAAAAACACUAACCGGUUUUCUAUCAUGUGUGUGACAUUUAUAUAGAUAUCUAAGUGCCUUAAGGUGAUUGCCUCGAAUGAAAGAUGAUGAAAUAAAUAGGAGAGUGAGACUAAGAUACAACGACACAAUUGGAAUUGAUAUGUAUAUGAGGGAGACUUUUAUAUGUAAAAUGCAAUUAGUUUUGUCACAAUAUCCUUAGUGUUGAUGCCAAUACCUAUCGAAUUAACCUUUGGCCAAUUUAACUUUGGAAGCACGUAUGAGCAUUUGUGAUGUUGUUUUUCUUGAAUCCUUUUAAUGUUAAGUUGCUGAAUUUUAUAUUUUUCAUAUGCAAGCUAAGUUGCUUGAGGACAAACAACAGUUAAAGUGUGGGGGAGUUCGAUAACAUGUAAAAUGCACUAUUUUAUUUAACUAUAUUUACACUUGUUUUAGAGUAAAUUCAUACAUUUGUGUGGUUUUGUGUUGGUAUAAUGUGUGUAUUAUAUGUACUUAUCAAUCAAAGGUGUUUGCAUGAUAAAAUGAUGAAAAAUGUAAAAAACGACACUUUAUUCUAAGCUUUAUACUGUCAUAACGGGCAUAGCCAAGUCAUGACGGGUGUAUCACAACACAAAGCUAGACCGUCACUGUUAAAAGUCAAAGAAACAAGGAGCGCUAGUUAAAAACCAUGACGUGCAGACCGUCAGCCUGACUGACGUUCGUCAUGGCCCACGAUCCAGCAUCCUCUUGAAGGAGUCAUGACGGGUAAGCCAUCAGCCUAGCUAACACCCAUCAUGAGGUUAAUGCUUAGUUUUCUUGUACCAGUAUCAGUAGUGCAGUUUCACCACUUCUCCAACUUUCUCUCACUCAUUUUGCACGAUUACAUUAGCUCCAGUACAAACUUUAGCCUAUAAAUAGGUCCUUUAAACUCAUAAUUUGGCAUUCAAGCUUACAUUUAGCCAUAAAUUUACUCUUGUAAAGCAUAAGUACUUCACAUUGAAGUGUUUAUGCAAUUUAUUUUCUGCAUUUUUUAGAGUUUUUGCUGCUGAAUUUUAUUUCCUGGUGUAACAUUUGUCUAUUUCCUGCAUUGUUAUUUCAAGUUUGUAGUUGUACCAGAUAUAACUCUCCCUUCAGAGAAAUUUAUUUAUGCAAGUUUCAAUCUUUAUUCACUUUCCGGUUUCUUUUACUUUGAUUACUUCUUCAAUUAUGUCUUAUUAAAUUGCGUGCUCUUUAAUUAUUUAUUUUACCAUAUGUGAGUAGAUUUAUAUAGGGUCCGAAACAUGAGGACUGGUUACCAGCAAAAUUCAUAGAAAAUGCCAAAUUAAAUUAAAUAUAAUGAGAAUAAUUCUCUUUUGCAAUUUCAGUGUAAACGAUAGAAAAUAUUUGCUACGAAAAUAGAAAUAAAGAGAUAUCGUUUAUGCACCUACAGGGGCAAUAUCAGACUGAGAAAUUCGAUGUGAAAGCAUGGUCAAAAUUAAUCAAGAAAAUACUUAAAAUUUUAGUUUUGAAAAGUAAAAACUUAAUCCAAAAGUAGAAGGUAGAGAUAUUGGUUACGUAUCGAAAGAGCGGAACCGAUCUCUGACACCAUUAUUUAAAAAUCAAUUUCAAGGUAGUGAAGACAACAUGAAAUCCAUUGAUGAAUUAUUUUCAACUUUAAAAUAAUUUUAGAUAUAUUAAUUUCACUGCGAAAGUCCGUUUUUAACAUAUUUAGGAAUCCGACGACAGAGACGCGAAAAUGGGUGUUGCUAUUAGUUGAAUAUUCUCUACAUAUCAACUUAUUCUCAUUAUAAUAAACAAAUACAUUUUGUAAGAAUAGAAUCGAUAGACGAUAAUCAACGUUUCAGUCCCUUACCUGUUAUUUAAUUUAUUUACACCAAUUUACCGCAUUAUUAACCUUUUCGCUAAAACAAACCAUAUGCAUAGCCUUAAAUAAACAAAAUAAUAAUAGAUAAAGAUACUUCAAUUGGUCAUUGUGAUAUUCAACAAUCUUUUAUACUAAAACUGAUAAAGUCGUGCACUUGCAGCCUAUCAAUUAUUCAAUAUUUGAUUUUUUUUAAUAUGUAAAAGUUAUGCGAAUGUUUAGAUAAACAACUUAUUUUCAUCGGUUUAUAAAAAGGGUUAAAUAUGUUAGGAAUCCCUCCAUAAUUCAAUGUUAGUUCCUAUAAAAAAAUCUUUUGAAUAAAGGUCAUCCUAAAAAUUUUCAUCCACAAUUUAGUUUCUACUGUCUACUUCCUCUAACGAAAGGUGACGUGACACGCCACAUGAAAGAUCCGGUAAGUUACAUGAAAUAAAGAGAAGAUUAUGACAUGAGUCACUUCAAAGAUAGAGUAGUGACACCGUUGAAUAGUUUUUGUCGUUCUCAAAUUCAUGUUAAACAAAUUCAAGCGCAAGUCAUAGUUCACAACCUUCAAUCAAACACCACAAUCCCAUACAACUUCAUCACUGCAUCUCAAUCUCACAAUCUUCUCAUCUUAGUUUUACCUUUCUUCAUUGCAGCUUUCGAUUCUCUUCAGGCAUGACGCAUGUUCUGAUAUUGAAUGCCAAUAUCCAUUUUCCAAAAACAUUUUUUUUUUCAAAAAAAAACAGUUUUUUUAAUGAAAAUAAACAAAUAUUUUUCUACAAUUUUUUAUUUUUGAAAAUAAAUAUUUUUUCUUAAAAUAAAAAAAUAUAGAUUUUUAAAAUAAAAAAAUUCUUGCAAAAAAACGAUUUAAAAAAUAUUAAAUAAAAACUAAUUAUAAAAUUGAUUAUGAAUGUAAUCGGUUAAUAACUGAUUUAUAACUAUUUUAUAAAAAGUGAAAUCCAAUUAUGACAAUUGAUUUUAAUAAUCGAUUAUAACAUAUGGAUUAUUUAUGGUUUUGGAUUGAUAAUGAAAAUUAAUCAUCUUUGAGCAUCCUUAGGGACAUGGAGGUCAGUUAGGCCUGAUAAAUUUACUUUUAGUAAUUGCUUGGUAUGGGUCAAAUGCUUGAUGAAUUUUGAAUUUAACAAUUAAGGAGUUUUGUAACCCCGCAAUCUAUUUCUAUUUUGUAGUGAUGUUGACAAAAUAUUCUACGUGGUGCGCCACAUGAAUUUCUGUUUGAGAAAGUAGACGAUAGAGAUCAAAAUUAUAAACAAAAAAUAUUAGGAGGACUAUUAUUAGAAUUUUUUUUAUUAAUAUUAAAAUUCAAUUAUGAGUUAUUUAUAAAAAAACAUAUUUAAUCCUAAAAAAUAAUUUUUUAUAAGUUAUUUUAAUAACUAAAGUGAGAUAAAUUUAAAUUACUUUUACGUAUACUAUCAGUUAUUUUGAUAUGCUAACUUUAAGAACUUAUAAAAAUAAACACAAAAAACUUUAUGAUUUUUUUUUAUAAAUAGUGAUGAUAUAGUAUUUAUAAAAAUUGAGGCAUGAUGAACUCAGGGUCAUUAUCACUUCUAAUGAUUUUAGGUUUGGAAUUGUGUUGAGUCUCAAUCAUUUUGAUAAAGUUUAUGACAUUUUGCUUAGUUUCAGAUUUGGCUUUCAUUAAAAUAAUCCAGGUAUAUCUGCUAAAAUCAUCUACUGUAGUAAAAAAAUAAGAGUGAUCAUGAUGAGAUUUUACAACAAUGGGACCCCAAAUGUCAAAGUGAAUCAAUUGAAAAGGAUGUUUGGAUUUAUUGAAACUGGAAUGGUAAGGAUUUAUUUUAUGCUUGGCAUAAUGGCAUACAUCACAAGCAACAUUUUUGUCUACAACAAUAAAGGGAAAAAUAGUAUGAAGGGAUUGCAUUCUACUAGGUGAAAGGUGGUCUAAUCGAAAAUGCCAUAAGGCAAUGUCAGGUAAAUUGUAGGUUGAAGAGUGGUAGGUAGCAUGAGCAUCACCAUGCUUGUCUUUGAGGAUUAAGUGGUACAUUCCUUCAAAGCUGUCAGCCAAACCAAUAAUCUGCCUAGUAGUGGGAUCCUGAAUAAAACAAUUAUCAUGAGUAAAAUUGACUUUGUACUUGGAUUGUUUACAUAAUUGUGAGAUUGAAAUAAGAUUGACAGAAAUAUCAGCAAUGUAUAGUACAUUAUUGAUGACAAAAUUAGAAGAAAACAUGAUUGAACCAACAUGUUUAGCUAAUGCAAUUUGCCCAUUUGGAAGCCUGACACUAAUUGGUGGAAUGGUUUUAUAUGUUUGAAACCAUGAAAAAGAUGAACAAAUAUGAUCACUAGCUCCUGAAUCAAUGAUCCAAGAGUUUGAAGAACAACAUUUAUAAGCAAAAGUUUGAGAAUUACCCUCAUUGUGCAAAGGUAGGUGGGUUAUGGAUGAGCCAACUUGGUUGGAAACAACAUGAAUAUUACCUUGGUUGAUGGAUGAGGUCUGAAGGAGGUUCAUUAGGGCCUCAUAUUGGUCCUGAGUGAUUGUAGGAUAAGUUUGGAGUUGCUAUCUUCACCUUAAGUUGUGGCCACAUUAUUUGUCAUGGAUGCCUUGACAAAAUGAGGUGGAAACCCAUGUUUUCGAUAACAUACAUCAAUUGUGUGUCCAGUUCUACCAUAAUGCAUGCAAACUUUGGAUCCGGAAGAAGUAGAAGGAUUAGUAUAACUGUUAUACUUAACAUAAGGUUUCUUGUAUCCUACGACAUUGAUUAAAGCAUGAGAUUCUUCUUUAGAAGCAAAGUUCCCUUGUCUCUCAUGUUGAAGUACCAUUGAGAAUAUCCUAUUCAUGCUAGGUAGGGGUUCAAUGAGCAAUAUUUGAGACCUAACUACUGCAAAAUUAUCAUUCAAACCAGUUAGAAAUCGAACAUCAUGAAGUAAAGUGUGAUUCUUGUGAUCUUGUCUCAUAGCUUCACAAGAGCAUCUGAUUCUACAACUGGAAUUAGGCAUAGACAUGUAGAUUUCAAGUUCUUCCCAAAGAACUUUCAAUGUAAAGUAGAAAUCUGUAUCUGUUUUGGAAUCUUGUUUUAAGAUAUAAAUUUCUUGUUGUAAUUCAGAAAUUCAAACAAGAUCUCCUUGUGAAAAUCUUUCUUUUAGAUCAUUCCAAGCAUCAACAAUAUUUUCCAAGAAAAUAAUCGACUGUGCAAUGGAUUCAGAUACAAAAUUGACUAACCAUGAGUGAAUGAACAUAUUGCACCUGUUCCAUGCACGGUAAGAAGGAUGGAAAUCAUCUACAGUAACUGGUAUGGUGUCAUCAACGAAUUCAAGCUUCAUCUUUCCUCCCAAAGCUCCGCGCAUAGCUCUGGCCCAUGAAUGAUAGUUUGAACCUUUAAGAAUCGGUGUAACCUUGACUGAUGAAGGUCCAUCACUUGGAUGAACAUGGUAAGGAUUGGUGAUAUCUGCUUGUGGAUCAAUGCGAGGCGGCAUGGUGAAAGAACAGAGAAGACGAAAGAGAGAAAAAAAAUAGAAUCAAAGAUGAAUGGAAUGAGGUGGAUCGAUAAAGGCAUGUGAUAUCAUGUUGAGAAACUGAACAAGGUCCAUGGCUUGGUUAUGGAGUCAUGAACUCUCUAGAAAGACUCCAUGAAUGAAGCUUAAAAAACAAGUAAAGAAGAAAAAGAGAGAGAAAGAGAAUUGAACAUUAUGACAUCAUCAUCAUUUCUUAUCAUUCACAUUACAAGAGAUGAAUAUAUAUAGGUGAUAAAAGAAAUUACAACUGCUUAACAAACUCCAAUUAACCACUUAUAACUAACUUUCCUAGAAUAGUAAACACCGAUAACAAACUUACAAUCUAACUAUAAAAGAAAAGGUGCAGCAAUGAUGAAGAAAAUGCAAGUAUUUUAACAAUUGUGAAGGACAAAUAUCAUGAUUGAAAUAAGUCUUGCCUACUAACAUGAAUAUCUCUAGUCGGACCUUUUUAUAUAUGAUUUGGCCACAUCUGUUUAUUAAAAAUGGGAGACUUAAGCUUAUAUAAAAAAACUUUUUUAAUUGAAUAGGUUAGAAGCGUUUGAUGUCAUGAUCUUUUAUCAAGCAUCACAAAACAAUGUUUAAUUUAAAUUUUAAAGUAAUAUAAGUAUAAAGUUUUGUUGUUGUUAUAUAUACAUAGUUUAUAUAUAAAGUUGUGUAUACAUAAAGUGUUUGCAGAUUUAUAAAACUCAAAUCAAACGUGUUGUCAAACAUAUGUGUAUAUAAAAACAUGAAUUUAUUUAUGUGUACUUAGAAAUUUUCGUAGUGAAAUUAUAAUUAUAUAUUAGGAUUAAUACAUUUUAUCCCGCCAUAGAGUAGAAUUCUAGUUUAGAUUCUUGUAAUUUUUUUUUGUAAUUGUUACAAGAAGAUUCUGUUUUUUUAUACCAUAUGAAAUUAAUUUUUUAUAAAAUUAAUCUUUUUAUAUUAAGAUUCUGUUGUUUUAAAAUAGUAAAAUUAUACUUUUUUUAACCAACCUUGUUAUUUUUAUAUGGCAAUGUUAAUUUGAAUUUUUUUUAUAAGUUUAGUUUUACAAGAUUAAUUUAAAUAACAUCACAUAGCAACAAGUUGAACAAAAUAAUAUAAAGGGUGUCAAUGAAAGUUAUAUCAUCUUUAUAUAUCUUUCAUCUGGUUUAAUUCCUUUGUCUUUUUCACCUCCAGUUCACCUCCUUCACCAC
rnacentral:lncRNA from 1 species